UAGAGUUUGAUCCUGGCUCAGGAUGAACGCUAGCUACAGGCUUAACACAUGCAAGUCGAGGGGAAACGGCAUUGAGUGCUUGCACUCUUUGGACGUCGACCGGCGCACGGGUGAGUAACGCGUAUCCAACCUUCCCAUUACUGUGGGGAUAACCUGCCGAAAGGCAGACUAAUACCGCAUAGUCUUCGAUGACGGCAUCAGAUUUGAAGUAAAGAUUUAUCGGUAAUGGAUGGGGAUGCGUCUGAUUAGCUUGUUGGCGGGGUAACGGCCCACCAAGGCAACGAUCAGUAGGGGUUCUGAGAGGAAGGUCCCCCACAUUGGAACUGAGACACGGUCCAAACUCCUACGGGAGGCAGCAGUGAGGAAUAUUGGUCAAUGGACGGAAGUCUGAACCAGCCAAGUAGCGUGCAGGAUGACGGCCCUAUGGGUUGUAAACUGCUUUUGUAUGGGGAUAAAGUUAGGGACGUGUCCCUAUUUGCAGGUACCAUACGAAUAAGGACCGGCUAAUUCCGUGCCAGCAGCCGCGGUAAUACGGAAGGUCCAGGCGUUAUCCGGAUUUAUUGGGUUUAAAGGGAGCGUAGGCUGGAGAUUAAGUGUGUUGUGAAAUGUAGACGCUCAACGUCUGAAUUGCAGCGCAUACUGGUUUCCUUGAGUACGCACAACGUUGGCGGAAUUCGUCGUGUAGCGGUGAAAUGCUUAGAUAUGACGAAGAACUCCGAUUGCGAAGGCAGCUGACGGGAGCGCAACUGACGCUUAAGCUCGAAGGUGCGGGUAUCAAACAGGAUUAGAUACCCUGGUAGUCCGCACAGUA
rnacentral:rRNA from 1 species